GCCCAUGUGGCGUAGUGGUAGCGCGUUGCACUUGUAGCUUACUUGUAUGCAAAGGUCACUCGUUCGACCCGGGUUGUGGGCA